AACGAACGCUGGCGGCAGGUCUUAGGCAUGCAAGUCGAACGGGUGUAGCAAUACAUCAGUGGCGCACGAGUGAGUAACGCGUGGGAAUUUGCCCAUCGGUGGGGAAUAACGUUUGGAAACGAACGCUAAUACCGCAUACGUCGAGAAAUCGAGAAAGAUUUAUCGCCGAUGGAUAAGCCCGCGUUGGAUUAGCUUGUUGGUAGGGUAAUGGCCUACCAAGGCGAUGAUCCAUAGCUGGUCUGAGAGGACGAUCAGCCACGCUGGGACUGAGACACGGCCAAGCCUCCUACGGGAGGAGGAAGCAAAGAAUAUUGGAAAAGGGAGUAACCUCUGACCCACCCAUGCCGCGGGAGUGAAGAAGGCCUUCGGUUUGUAAAGCUCUUUUAGUGGUGAGGAUGAGGACGGUAGCGAAAGAAAAAGCACCGGCUAACUUCGGGCCAGCCGCCGCCGUAA
rnacentral:rRNA from 1 species